AAUAAACAGCUACGAGAAGAUGAAGAAAAUGUUCCCAAUUAUUUCACCAACAUAAUUAUAAAAUAUAUUAUAAUAAGAAGCAUCCUCGACAUUAAUUAACAAUAAUCCAGCAUCUAGAUGCAGAGAAACUCCCGAUUUUAUAUUGACUAGUCAUCGUUGUUGACUAACAACGAUUCCACAAACCAACAUUGGCCUCCAAACAGAAAUACCAAGAACCAACGUGUCUAAAAUUAUUUUGUAAUCUUAAAAGUCAGAACCCGCCUGUUGACUACCGUUUUCUCGUAAAUCGUUUCUGUUAAAUAGCCCCCCCACUCCCUCUCUGAUUCUCUCAUCUUGUCGUACUUUUCUGAAAACAUCCCAUGGUUUCGGAAACCUUUCUUUUUUCCGGACAUUCAUUCGUUCGUUCAAACUAAUUAAGCUGUUUUGCAAAGUUUUCAUUUUCAUUUAUUUCUUAAUUAUUUAUUUUAUAUUUCUGUAAAGAGUUAUAGCAAGAAGAAAAAGGAAAAAAGAUCUAAGAAAAAGGUCGGUUAAGAUUUGAUUAAACUCAGCAACAUGAGUAUUAGAGUGGCAGAUGAUCUAGCAAGAUCAUUUUCCGUGAGAGGGGGGCAGAGCAUAUCAUCGGGUAGCCAAAAACAAACAUAUUAUUCAGAUUUAGACAUUCAGAUCUAUUCAGAAUUCAGACUAAUUCAGGUCUAUUCAGAUUUCAGACAAAAACAACAAACGCCACCUUAGUCAAGGACUUAAAAAAAUAUAAAUGUGCUCAAGACUUGAGGAGGACUUAUGUGAUACAUUUUUGAAAUGUUGGCUCUUGGAGUUCCUUUAUAUAAACGACAAGGAGUUAAGUGAUAAAUAUCCUUACCGGUGUUGCAGCCAAAAUAGCUGAAGUCAGACCAUACCAUGUUAAUCGUCUACUUGUCAAACAUGGAAAUUUCAAGGCUUCUCGAAGAGGCUGCUCAAAAAGGGUAAAAGAAUAAAUGAAUAAAUAAAUAAACAGCUACGAGAAGAUGAAGAAAAUGUUCCCAAUUAUUUCACCAACAUAAUUAUAAAAUAUAUUAUAAUAAGAAGCAUCCUCGACAUUAAUUAACAAUAAUCCAGCAUCUAGAUGCAGAGAAACUCCCGAUUUUAUAUUGACUAGUCAUCGUUGUUGACUAACAACGAUUCCACAAACCAACAUUGGCCUCCAAACAGAAAUACCAAGAACCAACGUGUCUAAAAUUAUUUUGUAAUCUUAAAAGUCAGAACCCGCCUGUUGACUACCGUUUUCUCGUAAAUCGUUUCUGUUAAAUAGCCCCCCCACUCCCUCUCUGAUUCUCUCAUCUUGUCGUACUUUUCUGAAAACAUCCCAUGGUUUCGGAAACCUUUCUUUUUUCCGGACAUUCAUUCGUUCGUUCAAACUAAUUAAGCUGUUUUGCAAAGUUUUCAUUUUCAUUUAUUUCUUAAUUAUUUAUUUUAUAUUUCUGUAAAGAGUUAUAGCAAGAAGAAAAAGGAAAAAAGAUCUAAGAAAAAGGUCGGUUAAGAUUUGAUUAAAC
rnacentral:lncRNA from 1 species